AUGCAAGUCGAGCAACGGACGAGAAGCUUGCUUCUUGAUGUUAGCGGCGGACGGGUGAGUAACAGUGGAUAACCUACCUAUAAGACUGGGAUAACUUCGGGAACCGGAGCUAAUACCAGAUAAUAUUUUGAACCGCAUGGUUCAAAAGUGAAAGACGGUCUUGCUGUCACUUAUAGAUGGAUCCGCGCUGCAUUAGCUAGUUGGUAAGGUAACGGCUUACCAAGGCAACGAUGCAUAGCCGACCUGAGAGGGUGAUCGGCCACACUGGAACUGAGACACGGUCCAGACUCCUACGGGAGGCAGCAGUAGGGAAUCUUCCGCAAUGGGCGAAAGCCUGACGGAGCAACGCCGCGUGAGUGAUGAAGGUCUUCGGAUCGUAAAACUCUGUUAUUAGGGAAGAACAUAUGUGUAAGUAACUGUGCACAUCUUGACGGUACCUAAUCAGAAAGCCACGGCUAACUACGUGCCAGCAGCCGCGGUAAUACGUAGGUGGCAAGCGUUAUCCGGAAUUAUUGGGCGUAAAGCGCGCGUAGGCGGUUUUUUAAGUCUGAUGUGAAAGCCCACGGCUCAACCGUGGAGGGUCAUUGGAAACUGGAAAACUUGAGUGCAGAAGAGGAAAGUGGAAUUCCAUGUGUAGCGGUGAAAUGCGCAGAGAUAUGGAGGAACACCAGUGGCGAAGGCGACUUUCUGGUCUGUAACUGACGCUGAUGUGCGAAAGCGUGGGGAUCAAACAGGAUUAGAUACCCUGGUAGUCCACGCCGUAAACGAUGAGUGCUAAGUGUUAGGGGGUUUCCGCCCCUUAGUGCUGCAGCUAACGCAUUAAGCACUCCGCCUGGGGAGUACGACCGCAAGGUUGAAACUCAAAGGAAUUGACGGGGACCCGCACAAGCGGUGGAGCAUGUGGUUUAAUUCGAAGCAACGCGAAGAACCUUACCAAAUCUUGACAUCCUUUGACAACUCUAGAGAUAGAGCCUUCCCCUUCGGGGGACAAAGUGACAGGUGGUGCAUGGUUGUCGUCAGCUCGUGUCGUGAGAUGUUGGGUUAAGUCCCGCAACGAGCGCAACCCUUAAGCUUAGUUGCCAUCAUUAAGUUGGGCACUCUAAGUUGACUGCCGGUGACAAACCGGAAGGUGGGGAUGACGUCAAAUCAUCAUGCCCCUUAUGAUUUGGGCUACACACGUGCUACAAUGGACAAUACAAAGGGCAGCGAAACCGCGAGGUCAAGCAAAUCCCAUAAAGUUGUUCUCAGUUCGGAUUGUAGUCUGCAACUCGACUACAUGAAGCUGGAAUCGCUAGUAAUCGUAGAUCAGCAUGCUACGGUGAA
rnacentral:rRNA from 1 species